rnacentral:lncRNA from 1 species
UCAGUGUAUAGGGAAUUGGAAAUAGUCUUGCUUGGUUGGAAAUCAGGAUGUGAAAAGCAAAGAAGCGAGAGAUGGACUCUAUUCAGAAAAUAAUUCAGCCUUUUCAUGGUUUAGAGAAGGAACAUGAUAACUGAGAAAUCAAGGGACAUAACAAAAAUUAUGGAAAAUCGUAACUCCUAAUUUCAGUCAUUUAAACCAAGUGCACUAGUCAAACCUAUGAAAGACGUGUGUGNNNNNNNNNNNNNNNNNNNNNNUGUCUUCUUUUGAGAAGUGUCUGUAUAUAUCCUUCACCCACUUUUUAAGUAUGAUCUCUGAAGGUGAUUUAUUAUAAACACCUUCUAAAUAUUGCCAGACCCUACACAUUUGCAUUAUAACUGUUCCACCUACCUGCUUUUUUAAAAAAAACAAAAACUCCUUUUUACCUUCUAUCUUUUCACCUCCUAUUUAUUUCUACCAAUUCCUUAAAAUAGUUGUAUAUCCAAUAACAGCUACUGAUCAGUAUAUAAUCCAAUUGAUUGAUGG